UUCAGGUCCUGCAGAAGAGCAGUGAGUGAUCUUAGCCAUUGAGCCAGCUCUCCAGCCCGGAGGGGAUGCAUUUAGGAAGAAAUGUUUCCAUUAUUAUACUAUUGUGAUAAUCCUCAUGUGACACAUUUCCUCCACUAAACAUUAGAUGUUUUGUUUUCAAUUUUACCUAGAAGGAGAACUGGGCCUGGCCAGAUGGCUCAGCAAGUGACGUGCACUUGUCAAACAAGCCUGACUAACUUAAGUUCUGUGCCUAGAACACACAUGGCCUUUGACUUACACAUGCAUACACAGACACACACAGAUAUACAUGCUGACAGAUAUAGACACACAGAGAUAUGCAUAUAUACACACACACACCCUACGCCCCCCCAACCCUCCAG
rnacentral:lncRNA from 1 species